rnacentral:rRNA from 1 species
AUGCAAGUCGAACGAAGCACCUUGAUUUGAUUCUUCGGAUGAAGAUCUUGGUGACUGAGUGGCGGACGGGUGAGUAACGCGUGGGUAACCUGCCUCAUACAGGGGGAUAACAGUUAGAAAUGACUGCUAAUACCGCAUAAGACCACAGCACCGCAUGGUGCAGGGGUAAAAACUCCGGUGGUAUGAGAUGGACCCGCGUCUGAUUAGGUAGUUGGUGGGGUAACGGCCUACCAAGCCGACGAUCAGUAGCCGACCUGAGAGGGUGACCGGCCACAUUGGGACUGAGACACGGCCCAAACUCCUACGGGAGGCAGCAGUGGGGAAUAUUGCACAAUGGGGGAAACCCUGAUGCAGCGACGCCGCGUGAGCGAUGGAGUAUUUCGGUAUGUAAAGCUCUAUCAGCAGGGAAGAAAAUGACGGUACCUGACUAAGAAGCACCGGCUAAAUACGUGCCAGCAGCCGCGGUAAUACGUAUGGUGCAAGCGUUAUCCGGAUUUACUGGUGUAAAGGGAGCGUAGACGGAGUGGCAAGUCUGAUGUGAAAACCCGGGGCUCAACCCCGGGACUGCAUUGGAAACUGUCAAUCUAGAGUACCGGAGAGGUAAGCGGAAUUCCUAGUGUAGCGGUGAAAUGCGUAGAUAUUAGGAGGAACACCAGUGGCGAAGGCGGCUUACUGGACGGUAACUGACGUUGAGGCUCGAAAGCGCGGGGAGCAAACAGGAUUAGAUACCCUGGUAGUCCACGCCGUAAACGAUGACUACUAGGUGUCGGGCAGCAAAGCUGUUCGGUGCCGCAGCAAACGCAAUAAGUAGUCCACCUGGGGAGUACGUUCGCAAGAAUGAAACUCAAAGGAAUUGACGGGGACCCGCACAAGCGGUGGAGCAUGUGGUUUAAUUCGAAGCAACGCGAAGAACCUUACCUGCUCUUGACAUGUCCCUGACCGGCAAGUAAUGUUGCCUUUCCUUCGGGACAGGGAUGACAGGUGGUGCAUGGUUGUCGUCAGCUCGUGUCGUGAGAUGUUGGGUUAAGUCCCGCAACGAGCGCAACCCCUAUCUUUAGUAGCCAGCGGUUCGGCCGGGCACUCUAGAGAGACUGCCAGGGAUAACCUGGAGGAAGGUGGGGAUGACGUCAAAUCAUCAUGCCCCUUAUGAGCAGGGCUACACACGUGCUACAAUGGCGUAAACAAAGGGAGGCAGAACCGCGAGGUCGAGCAAAUCCCAAAAAUAACGUCUCAGUUCGGAUUGUAGUCUGCAACUCGACUACAUGAAGCUGGAAUCGCUAGUAAUCGCGAAUCAGAAUGUCGCGGUGAAUACGUUCCCGGGUCUUGUACACACCGCCCGUCACACCAUGGGAGUCAGUAACGCCCGAAGUCAGUGACCCAACCGUAAGGAGGGAGCUGCCGAAGGUGGGACCGAUAACUGGGGUGAAGUCGGAACAAGGUA